rnacentral:rRNA from 1 species
AGAGUUUGAUCAUGGCUCAGGAUGAACGCUAGCGAUAGGCCUAACACAUGCAAGUCGAGGGGCAGCACAUGAAGUAGCAAUACGGAUGGUGGCGACCGGCGCACGGGUGAGUAACGCGUAUGCAACCUGCCUGCAACAGGGGAAUAACCCGUUGAAAGACGGACUAAUACCCCAUAACACAGGGAUCCCGCAUGGGAAUAUUUGUUAAAGAUUUAUCGGUUGUAGAUGGGCAUGCGUUCCAUUAGCUUGUUGGUGAGGUAACGGCUCACCAAGGCAACGAUGGAUAGGGGAACUGAGAGGUUUAUCCCCCACACUGGUACUGAGACACGGACCAGACUCCUACGGGAGGCAGCAGUGAGGAAUAUUGGUCAAUGGACGCAAGUCUGAACCAGCCACGUCGCGUGAAGGAAGACGGCCCUACGGGUUGUAAACUUCUUUUGUAAGGGAAUAAAGUGCAGUACGUGUACUGUUUUGCAUGUACCUUACGAAUAAGGAUCGGCUAACUCCGUGCCAGCAGCCGCGGUAAUACGGAGGAUCCGAGCGUUAUCCGGAUUUAUUGGGUUUAAAGGGUGCGCAGGCGGGAGAUUAAGUCGGCGGUGAAAUUUUGCAGCUCAACUGUAAAAGUGCCUUCGAGACUGGUUUUCUUGAGUGUGGAUGAAGUAGGCGGAAUUUGUGGUGUAGCGGUGAAAUGCAUAGAUAUCACGAGGAACUCCGAUUGCGCACGCAGCUUACUAAACCAUAACUGACGCUCAGGCACGAAGGCGUGGGGAUCAAACAGGAUUAGAUACCCUGGUAGUC